GAUGAACGCUGGCGGCGUGCCUAAUACAUGCAAGUCGAGCGAACAGACGAGGAGCUUGCUCCUCUGACGUUAGCGGCGGACGGGUGAGUAACACGUGGAUAACCUACCUAUAAGACUGGGAUAACUUCGGGAAACCGGAGCUAAUACCGGAUAAUAUAUUGAACCGCAUGGUUCAAUAGUGAAAGACGGUUUUGCUGUCACUUAUAGAUGGAUCCGCGCCGCAUUAGCUAGUUGGUAAGGUAACGGCUUACCAAGGCAACGAUGCGUAGCCGACCUGAGAGGGGGAUGGCAAACAGGGGAAUGGAGACAGGGACAAAACACAAGGGGGAGGAAGAAGGAGGAAAUCUUCAGAAGGGGGAGAAGGCCGGAGGGAGAAAGGCGGGGGGAGGAAGAAGGGUUUAAGGAUCGAAAAAAUUUUUAAUAGGGAAAAAAAAAAGGUGAAAAAAAAAAGGCAGGUUUGGAGGGAACAAAACAAAAAAACCAAGACAAACAACGGG
rnacentral:rRNA from 1 species